rnacentral:tRNA from 1 species
CGGGACGUGGCGCAGCUUGGUAGCGCACUUGCAUGGGGUGCAAGGGGUCGNNGUUCAAAUCUUGUCGUCCCGACCA